rnacentral:rRNA from 1 species
GAAGCGAUUCUGACGUGCAAAUCGAUCGUCUGAGCUGGGUAUAGGGGCGAAAGACCAAUCGAACCAUCUAGUAGCUGGUUCCCUCCGAAGUUUCCCUCAGGAUAGCUGGCUCUCGGGAAGAGACGAGUCUCAUCCGGUAGAGCGAAUGAUUAGAGGUGAUGGGAUCGAAACGACUUCAACCUAUUCUCAAACUCCCAAUAGAUGAGAGCCCCGGCUUGCUUGAAAGUGAAGCCGCGGGACUCGGAUCAGAGUGCCAAGUGGGCCAAUUUUGGUAAGCAGAACUGGCGCUGUGGGAUGAACCAAACGCAGAGUUAAGGCGCCUGAUUCGACGCUCAUCCGAAACCAUGAAAGGCGUUGGUUGCUUAAGACAGCAGGACGGUGGCCAUGGAAGUCGGAAUCCGCUAAGGAGUGUGUAACAACUCACCUGCCGAAGCAACUAGCCCUGAAAAUGGAUGGCGCUGUAGCGUCGUGCCUAUACUCUGCCGUCAACGGCAAAGCGGGCGGCCCCUCACGGGGCGGUGCCGUUAAGCCUUGACGAGUAGGAGUGUCGCGGCGGUGUGCGCGGAAGGGUCUGGGCGUGAGCCCGCCUGGAGCCGCCGCCGGUGCAGAUCUUGGUGGUAGUAGCAAAUACUCCAGCGAGGCCCUGGAGGACUGAUGUGGAGAAGGGUUUCUUGUGAACAGCUGUUGCACAAGAGUCAGUCGAUCCUAAGCCCUAGGAGAAAUCCGAAGCGAUGGUCUGCCGUUAAAUUUCGUAAAGGUCCGCCGACCGACCGACUCCGGUCGGCCGGUCGGUACCUCUAUUCGAGAUGGCACCGUCUGGGCGAAAGGGAGUCCGGUUCCUAUUCCGGAACCCGGCAGCGGAACCGCUCCAAUUCGGGCCCUCAUCCGAGGACUCGUCGGGGUGACCCGAAAUGACCCGGAGAAGCCGUAGGGAGGUCCGGGGAGAGUUGUCUCUUCUCUAUAAGCGUUCGAGUUCCCUGGAAGCCUCUAGGAGGGAGAUAGGGUUUGGAACGCGAAGAGCACCGCACUUACGGCGGUGUCCGGAUCUUCCCCUCGGACCUUGAAAAUCCGGGCGAGGGCCACGAGGAACACCGCGCCGGCUCGUACCCAUAUCCGCAGCAGGUCUCCAAGGUGAAUAGCCUCUAGUCGAUAGAAUAAUGUAAGUAAGGGAAGUCGGCAAACCCGAUCUGUAACUUCGGGAUAAGGAUUGGCUCUGAGGAUCGUGGCGCGCCGGGCUUGGUCGGGAAGUGGAGCGGUGCCAACGUGCCGGGCCUGGGCGAGGUGAAGGGCGCUCGUCGUCCGGACCCUAGCUCGGUCCCGUGCCUUGGCCACCCACGGACCUUCCUUGCUGCGAGCCUCCCGGCUGUCUAGUUUCCGGCUCCGCCGGAGGACGGGCCGGAAGGCUCUUCGGCCGCCAUAGAACGAUCAACUUAGAACUGGCACGGACCAGGGGAAUCCGACUGUCUAAUUAAAACAAAGCAUUGCGAUGGCCCUAAGGGGUGAUGACGCAAUGUGAU